AUUGAACGCUGGCGGCAGGCCUAACACAUGCAAGUCGAAUGGUAACAGGAAACAGCUUGCUGUUUCGCUGACGAGUGGCGGGCGGGUGAGUAAUGUCUGGGAAACUGCCUGAUGGAGGGGGAUAACUACUGGAAACGGUAGCUAAUACCGCAUAACGUCGCAAGACCAAAGAGGGGGACCUUCGGGCCUCUUGCCCUCAGAUGUGCCCAGAUGGGAUUAGCUAGUAGGUGGGGUAACGGCUCACCUAGGCGACGAUCCCUAGCUGGUCUGAGAGGAUGACCAGCCACACUGGAACUGAGACACGGUCCAGACUCCUACGGGAGGCAGCAGUGGGGAAUAUUGCACAAUGGGCGCAAGCCUGAUGCAGCCAUGCCGCGUGUAUGAAGAAGGCCUUCGGGUUGUAAAGUACUUUCAGCGGGGAGGAAGGGAGUAAAGUUAAUACCUUUGCUCAUUGACGUUACCCGCAGAAGAAGCACCGGCUAACUCCGUG
rnacentral:rRNA from 1 species